UACGUAGGGUGCGAGCGUUAAUCGGAAUUACUGGGCGUAAAGCGUGCGCAGGCGGUUUUGUAAGCCAGAUGUGAAAGCCCCGGGCUUAACCUGGGAAUGGCAUUUGGGACUGCAAGGCUCGAGUGCGGCAGAGGAGACUGGAAUUCCUGGUGUAGCAGUGAAAUGCGUAGAUAUCAGGAGGAAUACCGAUGGCGAAGGCGGGUCUCUGGGCCGAUACUGACGCUGAGGAGCGAAAGCGUGGGGAGCGAACAGG
rnacentral:rRNA from 1 species